GAGUUUCAGACGGCCCACUCCUCCUCCUCCCAGGGACGUCUGUAGGAACAGCGGCACUCCUCCUCCCAGUCGCUGUUCGGUUCUUUUCGAAAAGCCUGCCGCACCUCCUCCCGCGGCAGGCUUUUUCG
rnacentral:sRNA from 1 species